rnacentral:rRNA from 1 species
CAUGAAGCUGGAAUCGCUAGUAAUCGCGGAUCAGAAUGCCGCGGUGAAUACGUUCCCGGGUCUUGUACACACCGCCCGUCACACCAUGGGAGUCGGAAAUGCCCGAAGUCUGUGACCUAACCGCAAGGGAGGAGCAGCCGAAGGCAGGUCGGAUGACUGGGUGAAGUCGUAACAAGGUACC